rnacentral:tRNA from 1 species
GUGUCGCAAUGGUAGCGCGUCUGACUACAGAGCAGAAGGUGGCGUGUUCGAUUCACGUC